UAGCGGCGGACGGGUGAGUAAUGCGUAUAGAAGCUACCCGAUAGAGGGGGAUACCAGUUGGAAACGACUGUUAAUACCGCAUAAUGUCUACGGACCAAAGUGUGGGACCUUCAGGCCACAUGCUAUCGGAUGUGCCUACGUGGGAUUAGCUAGUUGGUGAGGUAAUGGCUCACCAAGGCGACCAUCCCUAACUGGUUUGAGAGGAUGAUCAGCCACACUGGAACUGAUACACGGUCCAGACUCCUACGGGAGGCAUCAGUGGGGAAUAUUGGACAAUGGGCGCAAGCCUGUUCCAGCCAUGCCGCGUGUGUGAAGAAGGCCUUCUGGUUGUAAAGCACUUUCAGUAAGGAGGAAGCGUUGAGUGUUAAUAGUACUCAGCGUUGACGUUACUUACAGAAGAAGCACCGGCUAACUCUGUGCCAGCAGCCUCGGUAAUACAGAGGGUGCAAGCGUUAAUCGGAAUUACUGUGCGUAAAGCGCACGUAUGCGGUCUUUUAAGUCAGAUGUGAAAGCCCCGGGCUCAACCUGGGAAUUGCACUUGAUUCUGGAAAACUAGAGUGUGUGAGAGGGGGGUAGAAUUCCAAGUGUAGCGGU
rnacentral:rRNA from 1 species